UUCUCCAGCAGAUUGAGCCCCAGCCUGCGGGGCAGUAUCUCCUCAGUUGCUCAUCCCAGCUCUGACACAGGCUCCCUCUUGGGAAAACAAGGCAGAGAAGUGAUUUAAACCAUUUCUAAAAUCCUCUGAAGUUGAAGAGUUUUAUUAUUUACACAACCACGUCCACAUCUAAGGUGUUUCCUGGCUUGGGUAAAAGAGAACUAUGGGUUUGUGUUUUCCUAGCUGUUAAAAUUCUGUAGUUGAUAGUAAAUUCUGCUGCCCAUAUCUUUAUUGAGUAACAGCUUCCUCCAUGAGUAGCAGUCCUACUCAAGUCAAUGGGGGUUAGUUUCAGAGGAAGUUGCUUCUCUUUGUGAUUAAGGGUAGCAGAAUCUGGCUUUUGACGACUGAGCUAAUUUUAUUAAAAUCCCCAGUAAAUGACAAGUCCAAAGUAUCUUUCCUUUGAUCAACUGUUAAAAAACCUCUAACUUUUUAUUAAAAAUUUCCAAAACUCUUAUGACAAUUAGCCAGCCUGGGCACCAGAUCUAAUCGUCUAAUUCUUACCGUGAUAAAAAUAUUUUUUCACCUGCCAAAACUAUUACGCAUCUGGCACGUUUUGUUUUUGUUACAGCUAAUACAUGUAAGAUGUAUAUGAAAUGUUGGCUUCAAACAUCUUAUGGAGUCUUCCUGUCUGUGCCCACUGCAAUCGGGAGUGGACUCACCUGCAUGUUGGGAACUACAACAUAGUGUAUGCGAUAUGUAGUCCUGGGUGGAAUUUCAUACUUAUGCAGAGGACCAGCGCAAGAUGUAUGCACAAUAUAAUUUUCACUCCAGCCCUCAAAAUAGGACUUCACUGAGAUUAAAGAGGUCCAUAGGCUUGAGCUGUUCCUUGGCAUAGUGGUGGAUUUCAUCCUUUGUGCUUGCAAAUAGAUGCUCGUGCAGGCACACUUAGGGAGACCCUCCUGAAAAUAUGCUCCUUCAAAUUGUGUGCUUUAUGGAUUUCUUCAUAAACAGUGGAAAUCAAUAUCUGUCUAUCUAUGGUAUUUAUACGGCCCCCAUUAUAACAGCAUCUGAGUAUCUUAAAAAAUUGAAUGCAUUUAUCUUCAAUACCCCCUGUGCAGUAGGGAAGUGUUAUCCUCAAUUUAUAGUAGGGGUUCUCAAACUGGGGGUCAUGAGGAUAUUACAUGGGGGGUUGCGAGCUGUCAACCUCCACCCCAAACCCCACUUUGCCUCCAGCAUUGAUAAUGGUGUUAAAUAUAAAAAAAAGUAUUUUUAAUUUAUAAGGGGGAUCACACUCAGAGGCCUGCUUUGUGAAAGGGGUCACAAGUAAAAAAGUUUGAGAACCACUGAUUUAUAGAUUGGAAACUGAGGCACAGACUAAGUGACUUGCCUACGGUCAUUCAGUAACUCUGUGGCAAAGCAGAGAAUUGAACCCAGUCUCCUGAGUCCCGGGUUAGCAUCCUCACCGCACGACCAAGAGAAUAUGUUUAUUUUACUAGAAUUACCAUAAACAUGGAACAUUUAAAAACGAGUUGAAAUGUUUAAAAUCUGUUUAACAGCAGAAAAGCAAGUGUCUCAGGUGACCAAACAAGGUCCCAGUUACUCAUUUUAUAAUGGUUUAUUUUCCUCGCUAUAUGGAAAAUGCAAUUAAGACUCUUCUAUUGAGACGUCUGUUUCAUUUGCAGAGAAAUCCUAUGAGAAAUGUUUAAAAACAAAACACACACACACGCACAACCAAAGCCCAAUACAGUUAAAAACAGAAGUCAGACAUCUCUUUUUCAAAAGCAUAGGAUAUUAAUGGAGAAAGCUCUAUUUUCAUAGCAAAGCAAAAAGAACACUACUCAAUAGUAUGCAUUUCUUAAUGUGCAUCUAAAGUUUCAAAGUAGUCAAAUUUUCCAAAUCAAAUGAUGUAUUGCUUCAUGUUUCCCAAGUUUUCAGUCACUCAUUGUAUAAAACAUUGGAUUAUAAAAUCAAAUGCUCUGAAUUUAGUGUUUGUUGGGUAUAUCAGAAAAAAUUCUAAUGCUUAAAUGUGUUCUAAAGUAUGGGGUGGAGGGAGAGUAAAAUAGUACUUAAAACUGCUUUUUAUUUUUGAGGAGCCCUCUGUUUACUUCAGCUAAAAUGCAAUGGUAGAUGAAAGGGAAUAGGCAGAACUGGAUCGUUAAUAUUAUUAUUUAUUAUGUGCAUUAUAUUAGUCCCAAGAGUACCCAACCAAGAUCAGGUCCCAUUGUGCUGGGCACUGUACAAACACACACAAAAAGAGAGAGUUCCUGCUCUGAGAAACUUAUCAUCUAAAUACCGAAAGCAAAUAGAGAGAGCGUUCCUAUUAUGCCUGUGUCAGAGAUGUGAAACAGACACAAAGAUUCAGUGACAUGCCAAAGGCCACACAGGAAGUCUAGUGGCAGACUAGUGCCUUAAACUUUGUUUGUCCUUUUCAGUAUGUUAGCUCCCUGUUGUUACUUCGGUGAUUUUUUAAAAAAUAUUUACUGUUAGCACCAAUCCAGCUUCAGUUCUGGAUUCCCUUGCUCUUUGUUCAUCACCAUUAAAAUCCAGUUAAAUUCUCAUGAGCAUAUUCAGAUCCCAGUGGUGAAACUUUGAAAGAUCAACUUUUGACUUUUAACUACGUGUAUUUGAUAUGGAAAUAUGAGAGACAAUAAAUAAUAUGGAACCCCGCUCUGCUGUUUCAACAAGCUCUCUUCUGGCAAUAGCUGCAUGCUGAGCUUUUUGUUUUUGAAGAUUUCUCGGUUUAUGUUACAGAAGGCCCAAGCUGUGAUAAACGUGUAAAACACAUGAGUGCUGGUAAGAGACUGAACUUUAUUUCCUGGCCUAAGGCACAUAGGUCAGGGUGCAGUGUCCACUCACUCCAGUGGCUCCUCUUGCAUUAGUUUCACAUUACUUUAGAUGCAGAAAGCUAGAAAUCUUUAAGAUCUGGGUGUUUGGGAGAUGGAGGGGGAUAAGUUAAUUUUUGCCUCUCAGAUAGGCAAAACUUCACAAACUUCUUCCUAAGACACACAUACAUACUCUUUGUUGUUAAGCCAAUAAGGAGCAGAUAAAGCUGACCAGUUGAGUUGUUUUUCUCUUCUUGGUUGUAUAAACAUUUUACAUUUUAUAGUGUGUGUAUGGUCUCAGUCAGGGAGCACAUUUAUUGUGCAUGUCGUUCAGUUUAGAUUCUACUGCAGCACAUGAUUACAGCAACUUAGAGGAAAAAACUGGAAAAUAAGUCCCUGAUGUAAAACUGGAAACUGAGCCAAAACAGUAGUGCCAGUUAUGAUUUCAGUGCCUUACACACAUUGAUUUAUGAAUUCACUGGAAAUGUGAUUUAUGAAUUCAAUGCAAAUGUAUUUAACAAUUUUUUAGGACAAUUUAGCAUAUUAAUCAAUUCUCUCUAAAAGCCAAACAUAACAUUCUUUUGGAGCCAUUUUUCUCUGUCCUUUUAAUAUUUUCAGGAGAGGUGUUAUAGAUUGUAAUUCUAGGAGGAGGGGAAGGGAAACACAAAGGAAAAUUCAUGUGUGUGUUUCAUUCAUUCAGAUGUGGCAUUUACUGUAUCCUUUCAGCCUCACCAUACUUGUCUCGAACUGUUUUCAUUUUGUUUCCUAAUUGCAGAAAUUCAACUUUCUAGAACCAUUAACAGGGGGAAGACAUCUGGGUGGAAGGUGGAGGGGAGCAGGCAAGAACCAGAUUACUAUUUGGCUACACCUACUAUCUAACUCCCGGACCUCAUGGCUUGGUCCCAGUUCUGAUCCCUCCCAGUGCCUACCACAAUGGCAUCCUAGUCUGUGGCUGGAGCUCCUGGCGAUAUGGUAAUACAAAGAAAUAAAUAAGUUGCAAGAUUCCCUUUAAUGGACAAAUAUAAAAUAACCUGUCCAUAGCGAAGUUUCUUCCUGCCCCCAUGACAUUAGUGUUUGGCAUCUGCCUCGAAGCAUGAGAGUUUAGAUCCCCUGUUUUUUAUGUAAUUGUGGUUGCUGUCGUCAUCCAUGUAAGUGCAUAAUCCCUUUUUUAAUCCUGCUAAAAUUCAGUGAUCCCUCCUCAAACACAAACUACUUAUCUUCACUUUAAGUCAUCCUAUCUAUCCUCUCUUACAUGCUGUUAAGUCACUGAACCUCACCUCAGCAGUGCCAAUGAUAUCAGUCUUCAUCGCCAAUCAGUCCAAUUGUCCCAAAAACACCUUCACACUUUCUCCAGUACCUCUCCUUAUGGAGUUCCCCAUAAACAUCCACAAAACCACUGUAAUAUCCUCCGUCAAAUGCCUCCUUAACUCAUGAUGCUUACAACACAGUUGACUGUAUCUAGGCAGCUGGUAUGUUAAGACUGCUGCUUCUUACUUUGUAGUUAUAAUCCGACCAACUCAUUGCUACUUCAUGCUUCCCCCAUCUGUUUCUUGUAUCCAGCUAUUGUUUCUUGUCAUAUACUUGUACUGUGAGCUCUUUGGGGCCAGGGCGGUCUGUUUGUUAUCUGUGCAUAAAGUGGCUAGCACAACAGGGGACCCAACCGCUGACUGGGGCCCCAGGAUAGUACCGCAAUGCAAAUCAAUAACAGUAAUAAUAAUAAUACAGUAAUAAUGAUGAAGGCACUAAAGGAAGGCAAUGGCGGUAGUCAACAUGUGAAUUGACCAGGACGCCAAUAAAAUUCAUGAUGACAAAGAUGAAGAGGAAAGACAGAUUUUGAAUAUUUUGCCAGCAUUUGGUAAAAAUGUAGAGGAAAGAAUGUAGAGGAAAAGAAGGAGAAAUAAGAAUUGAUUAUGACACAAAGGCUAAGCACCUGCAGGAGGGAGAAGAUAGCAGAAUUAUCAGCAGCACCCCAGAGAUAAGGGAGGGAAUUGGGGAGCAAAGGUUAGGAACUGGUUUUUUGCCAUGUUGAGUAUGAGCUAGUGCUAAGAAAUCCAAGAUGAGAUGUUGCAAAGACAGGAACGAAAGCAGGGUAGAAAGGUACAUUUUUGUGGUCAUUGGCAGACAUGGCAGUUGAAGUCCUGAGAGUACAAGUCACCCAGGACUAGAGAACAAGGAAACAACAGGACAGGGACAAAGACAGAUCCCUGAGGGAUUUCUACAAUGCAAGAGGAGCUGACGGGAGACUGAUGUACCUGCUAUCUGAUUGUUGGUUGAAAUGUUCUCGUAAUAUUUUGUAGGACUUCGCUCCCUUACCUCUUACCCUGUUUUGGCACAUAAAUGUCUAAAUAGUUGGUACUGAAUGGUUUCUUGUUCUCAAACAUUUGGCUUCCCAAUUCCGACUGAAAAGCUGUUGAUUUGCAUCCUUUAGUGGAACGUCAAAAAUGAGAUUUAAGAAUUUUCUUUUGGAAGAUCUCAACCUGUGGAGUCAGCAAACUAUGUGUGAACCCCUUUGUUGGAUGGGUAGUAGAAUUCCCAUGUCAUUUUUCUGAAUUAUCAGCAAUAUGCUGUAGACAAAAUAAACUUGUUUUGCCCUUGGAAGUAGUUGAUUGCACACACAAUUUUCCUGCCCCUUCAGAGUUUUAUCUUUCAAUUGCACACACGCUUUUUUGAAAACAUUAAUUAGACUUGCCAUUGUAUCUUACAGUAUUUCUGUGGCUAUUUGGUGUGACAAGGAAAAAAAGAUUCUAACUCACGGCUUCAGGAAAUGAGUGCAUAAUAAUCUCACAUCUGUUAAAUUAUGCUCUGCUUGUUCUGACAGUCAGUAGCACACUCAGCAUUAUUCUGAAUUAAAAUAGAGUGGUAAAGGAAAUAAGCUUCUGCAUUUGCUAAUGACUCCUGUUUCUAAAACAGAUUUACAAGUAAGGAGUGCAAACUACACAAUAGCUUCCAUUGUCUGGGUUCCCGUUAACCUAAGGGUAAAUUGACCAAAAAACAACUCUAACAGGAGAGAGCUAGGAAAGGUCGCUAUAGAGCUAAUGCAUGUGUUUCAGCUUGGUAUCCUGGGAGCCCAAAAAAUAUACAUGCCCAGAUUUGCUAAAAUGUAGCUAUAUGAUCUCUUAGGACUGUAGGGUAAAUAAAGAAUGACAAAUAAGAUUGAUUUUAUAUUCAGCUGGGGUUGAGUUGCAUGGAAGAUAGGGAAUCUAGCGCUGUUCCACUGUCAUAUGGCAGAUAGAUUUCUCACUUUUAAAAAAUACCAUGUACGUGCUGAUCUACAUUUAGAUAAAUGAUGAAGACUUCCGCCGAAAAACCAACAGGCUCCCCAGCCCUGGCUAUUAUCCUAGUAACAUGAUAGCUUGCUGCAGGGCACUGCACCCAGGGCACUGCAUCAAACUGCAAUCAUCAUGUGUGCCUCUGAACUUUUACUGCGUCCUCACUCUCGGCACUGAAACUGGGUUUAAUUUAAAGUGAAAGCAGUGUUUGUGAAAAGUGUCAGAUGGACUACUUCAGACAGUAAGUCCUCUAGUUUGCCACUGAAGAGCUACAGCAAAAGCAGUGCAAGCUUCCACACAUUCUAAGGCCUUGUCUACACACCCAAGUUGUGCCACUGUAACUCUACCGGUAUGAAAGUGUCUAUAGCAGCACAGCCAUUCCUGUAUGGAAAGGGGAAAUAAGCUAUGCGGAUAUAAACACACUUAUACUGGUACAGUUGUGUCCACACUAAUGGAGUUUUUAACUACGUUAACUGGUUAAAAAAAAUCACAUCCCUAACCAACAUAUUUUUACCAAUACAAAAACUGGAUGUAGCCCAGGCCUCAUUAAUAUCCAGCAGUAUUUUAAAAUCCUAGUACAUUUACUAUCAUCAAUGGUACAACUCAGAAAAACAGAAUAUGGGAUUGAGAAGCAGCAUUCAGCCAGUGCAAAGUGCUUUUGAAAAUCCCAUUUUGAAUUUUUUUAGCCCUUCCAGUCCUCUUCUCCUUACCAUCCUCUCAUCUUUGAAAUCCUCAAGACCCACUUCUGCUGUGAUGCCAAAAGAAUUCAGCCAGCCAAUGAUGGCUACGGUGAUGAGCGGCAGUCAGAUGCGCUUCCUAAGGGCAGUGACCCAGAGGAAUCCUUUUAUUGGUGGGUCAAGGUUUAGCCAGAAUGGGUUUAGUGAAUUACCAAAAUGAAUUCUUGAUGUAAAAAUCUGAGACCUGCACAUGUUGUCUCCAACACAAUUACAGAAGCGGAGUGUAGAAUUUGCAAGGAUUCAGCACCUACGCUCACUUCUCUCAAAGAGUGAGGCUUGGGAAAAACAAGAAAUGUGAAGAAAGGAUGAAGAACAAGGUGACAUAAAGUUACAGAAGUGAGAAGAGUGCAAGUCCAAGGAGAAUCUUGAAGAUGGAGAAUGAUGGCACUAGUUCAAGAAAUGGAGAGGAGGCCAGUGAAGAAUUUCAAGGAUCAAGAUGAUGAGUUCCUGCUUCCUGUGAAUGGAUGAAAAGAUGAGCCACCAUAUUUUGGAUACUUUGAAUUUUGGAACAAUCUGAAAGACAAAUCUUGAGCCAAGCAAUUACAUAAAAAAUCUGCAUUUGCAGGAAGGCAGACUGGAUGAUCUUACAGUCCUCUUCUCUCUUUAAUGCCUCUGAUUACAUUAUAAUACCUAAUGCUGCCAGGUAUGCAAACUUCUAGCUGAGAGAAGCUUAGCUCCUAUGGCUUUGGCCAGGGGAGACUACUUUUUGGCUCACCCAAUAGAUCUAGUGCCUAUGGAUGUUUGGAACUUGCUUCCUCUCCAGAUCUGUAAUAGCUUGAGUUUGUUAGAUUUUAGAGAGUGCUGCAAAGUCCACUUUUGCUCCCUUGCACAUUAGCAGAUGGGUGUUGAGUAGGGCCGGGUAGCAAUGGCAUAAGAGUCAGGCGGGAGUUCUGUAGGGAGGCUUGCUAUAUAUAUGUUGAUGCUGGGGGUUUUUGAUCUAAUUUGAUUUAAAAGGUGAAAGAUCUGUUUAUUUAACAGUGUAUUUUAAAAACUGUCAAAGGCAGCCUGAUCAUUGGAUGGGUGCUCUUUUAUUGUAGUUUGUGAAAGUCCAAAUAAUAAAAUAUAUGAAAUAAGGACCACAACGGUCGCUAAUCGAGUCUGUCAUGGUAAGGUGCAACCCACAAACACAGAUAAAAGACUCCACUAAGGAGCUACACCCACUCUAGUGUCUGGCAGUCACAUCAGUACCAAGACAUGAAAGCAUGAAGAACAGUUUUGGCAGCUAAUGAUUGGUAUGCUUAGGAUGCUGAGAUCUGUUGGAUUCAAUAUAAUGCAUUGUCUACCUUCCCCCCAUUGCCACCCGCUUUUAAACACUCUGCCUAUGACUUCUACAAAAGAAGUAUACAGUAAAUCAGAAAACAAAUACAGUGUAAGUUCAAAUAGAGGGGGAGGAAAAGACACAUUCUGUACAACUAAUAGCACUGAAUGAAACUAAACCUGCUGCUAACAGCUUUUCAGUCUUUAUUAAUCACUUUCAUACAGCCUAGCUUAGACUAACAAUUAAACAAACAAACAAACAAAAAAAGAAAGAAAGGAUUCAGGUAGCCUAAGUAAGGAAAUCUGUGCAUAGUGCAUCCAUUAGUUAAUAUUUUCUGAAAAAUCAUAUGUUACAACAAAAUUAAACUCUCUGGCACUAAUACAAGUUUGUCUGGCCCACUAAGUUAACAAAUUUGUUACUACACAUCAUUUAUAAACUGUUGUUUUCCCUCCAGAGUAGCUAAAGCUAUGACCCUUUGGUUAUGUGUGUUCCUUGAACCUUCCUCCAUGAAAAGUACCAUGGAGUCAGUAUGUUGUCACGAUGCGCUCACUGAAAAUGUCCACUAAUGACCGUGGAAAGUAAAACAGCCCUUUGAAUGGUUGAGGGGAAUAUUUAGGAAUUUCUUCAUGCAAAGUUGGGCACCCUAAGAGAAAAAUGCUUUCAAGGUCAAACUAUUGUUUAUUUUGGAGCCUAUUUCUCUUUCUGCUUUCCUGGUGACCUAGGAAUGAGCUCACAAUUGGAAGCAAACCUCUCUUCUGUUUCCACUCCUAAAGAAUUACCUACUCUCUGAAAGCUCACAGGAUUAUCGAUGGCUUUGCACCAAAAAUACGAUUUGGAAUCCUGUGGAAAACACACACACACGUUUGCGUGUGUAUGUAUGACACUGACAGAUUUAAGUUAAAAAAAAAAACCAAACUGUAGAAACAUUAAAAUGAAAAGUGAUUGAAUUCCUAGUAAAUGGAAAGCUUCCCAUAUUCACAAAUGGUCUGCUUUGUGCUUGAAAGUGAGAUUACCUAAUCUAGCAUGACUCUACAGGACAGCAAAACAUGCUGUUUUGUAAUGAGUGUAUAACUUUCACACUGUUUGGCAGCAUCUCAAACUGAGA